UGGGGAAUAUUGGACAAUGGGGGCAACCCUGAUCCAGCCAUGCCGCGUGUGUGAAGAAGGCCUUUUGGUUGUAAAGCACUUUAAGCAGCGAAGAAGACUCCAUGGUUAAUACCCAUGGACGAUGACAUUAGCUGCAGAAUAAGCACCGGCUAACUCUGUGCCAGCAGCCGCGGUAAUACAGAGGGUGCAAGCGUUAAUCGGAAUUACUGGGCGUAAAGCGAGCGUAGGUGGCUUGAUAAGUCAGAUGUGAAAGCCCCGGGCUUAACCUGGGAACGGCAUCUGAUACUGUUAGGCUAGAGUAGGUGAGAGGAAGGUAGAAUUCCAGGUGUAGCGGUGAAAUGCGUAGAGAUCUGGAGGAAUACCGAUGGCGAAGGCAGCCUUCUGGCAUCAUACUGACACUGAGGUUCGAAAGCGUGGGUAGCAAACA
rnacentral:rRNA from 1 species